CGGGACCUCAGGUCUCGCGG
rnacentral:rRNA from 1 species